CCCAGAGUCUCUGGCCUAUUGGGGACCCGCUGCGUGAGCCCCGGAAGCCUCCGGGCAGCCCGCCGCCCAGCCUGCGGCUCCGUUCUCGGCCUCUUUCUCUACCUCUCCCGUCUCCCUCCGCUUGUGCUCUCUCGCCGCUCUGUCAACUAGAAGAAGAGAAAAUUGGAAGACUCCCGGAACAGUUUCUCCCGGACAGAGGUCGAGUGACACUUGUAUGAACAGAAGUGUGCUCCUGCGGAAAGCCAGCGCCGGCCCCGGCCCGGCGACAGAAAGCACGCUCCGCUCCCCGGCCCGCGGGUUCCUUCAGAGGCCGCCCCAGACUUGGGGUCGAGAUGCAGCCCCCUGCCGCCACCAGGUUCACACUGGGCCUCGCGGUCCUGCUGCUGCUGGUGCCCUGGGUCACGGCGGCGGCGGCCGGAUCGGUCGUGGGCGCGGCGAGCAGCGGGCGAGAGACACAUGCUCUCUCUCUUUCCUACAAUUUCAACAUCACAUCUCGGGCCAGGCCUGGACAACCAUGGUGUGAGAUUCAAGGCCUGGUCAAUGGAAACCAGUUUCUUUCUUACGACUGUCGGAGCAAGGAGGUCAAACCCGUUGGUCCUCUGGGGAUGAAGCUGAAGGACACAGCGUUUUGGGAGAGACAAAAGGAAACCCUGGAAGACCUGGUGGAAGAGCUCAGAAGGAAACUGCUGGACAUCAAAACAGGGAUUUUCACUAAGAGCCAUCCUCUCACCCUGCAGGGCAGGCUGGUGUAUGAGUGUGGACCAGACAGACACCCCAGAGGAUCCUGGCAGUUUGCCUUCAAUGAGCAGAUAACCCACCGCUUUGACCCGGAGACCGGAAAUUGGACAAUGGUGCCUCCUGAGGACCAGCGGUUCCAGGGCACGUUGGACAGUGACGGAGAGCUGACCGGCUUCCUCAUGAGGAUCUCAAACGGAGACUGUAAGGGCUGGCUCCAGCAAGUACUGGAGCACUGGGAUGAAAUGCUGGAGACAACAGGAGCACCAGCCACAACCCCAGGUGUAGUCCGAGUCAAAGGCACAGCCAUCAGGCUGAUCACCUCCAUCCUCCCCGUGCUCCUCACGUGCUCAAUCCUCCCUGGCAUCCAAGGCAGACUCCUUUGAGUAACAGGUACUGUGGGCAGAACUGAAGUGAGAGGCAGAUGGCCUGAGGUGAGCACAGAGAAAGGGGCUGAAGGUGCUACAAGAAGCCCCUGAGGAUGUGCUCUCAUUCACCCACUCUCCCCUUGCACUUGUGGUUCAGUGGUAGAAUUCUCGCCUGCCACCCACUCUCCCCUCUGGUGGGUGGCCUUUCUUCCACCUGCUGUUCAUGUCAACCAACGGGAGCUUCAAUCCCUGUGGCAAAGCAAGAAUCCUCCAGAUCAUCAUGAUUAUGGAGGAGAUGGAACAUUUCAUUGCCUUCAUUCCGGUCAUGAUAAUCCUUCUCUGCACUUUUUCUUAACAUUAAUGCUAUUUUCUGUUGGUGCUCACUGUUGGGAUUCCUGCACUUUGCCUUCUAACUGGUUGAACAAGAAUUCUGCACAAAGAGACUAUUAUGCAACUUCUCCUUUGGUAUUGGAAAUGAGAUACUUGUCAGCGUCAUGAUCCUGUUCAUUGUUAAAAAAAUACUAUAUGACAUUAGAGAACCUUGGGGAUUCUUUCCUUUGA